GCUCAGGGGUCAGGGUCUGGCUGGCACUGGCUGGCACCCCACCAGGUAAAUGUCCGGGUGUCUUCCGCGUGUCUUCCGGGUGUCAGUGGCCCCAGGAGCAGAGGACGCGUCCAGGCUGGGGAGGGAUAUAUUAAAGCCAUCAACACAUGGGGGUGAGUGAGGAGCCAGCGGGACGUUGGCCUUGUGUUAAGCCUUCAGAAAAGCGAUUGAGUGGAGAUGAACUAUGUCUGCGAAAGCUUCAUGUCCCCAGCCUUUCUGUGCCGGAGGUGUUUUAUCCCAGACGAGUCUCACUUGGUUCAGGUGCCUGUCCUUGUUUUCUUGGCGAUCGCCAUUUGGUUCGCAUCUCCCCGUCACUCCCGACAUGGAAACCGACUUCACCACUUGUGAAUCUUCCCACGGACCAGGAUGCUGUGAAGUGAAACUUUCUGACACGCUGUCGCUGGUGGGUAAAUACUCCUCUCUGGCCCCAGACAACUUGCCUCACUCCCAACAACAGUUUUUUCUUACUGGUUCCCAUAUCUGGCUUCCACUAACUGUGAGAACAUUAAAGACCAGAAUCGCAGUCCUAGCCUUAAGGUUUUCUCUUCUGUGUUCUCUUGCUGUCGACCACAUA